CGCGUACGUGCACGUGUCCGCGGGAUUCUGCCUGAGGAGCAGGCUCGUCGCAGAGGCUUGGGGUCUGCUCUGAAAGCUGGGCCUCAGGAAGGAACUGUCUCGCUUUCGCCCAACCUCUUGCCCCCUGCUCUCUGACUCUUUUGUAACCUGAUCCAUCUCAAGAGCCCGGGACAGUACCUGGCACAUCAUAGGUGUUCAAUAAAUAUGUGUUGGAUGAAUGAAGAAGGAAGGCUGCCAGGGAAAAGAGGGUUGUCAGGCAAACAUCUUAAACUCCCGCAGAGGGCACUAGAAGCUCAGAAAGUCAAAGGACAGAAGUGUGGCCAUUACUCACUACCAGGACUAGAGAAGUCAUCCUCAGGUCCCACGUUCGGCACCCCUGUUGACCCCUUCUUCUGGACCCACUUGGCCCCAGUGGCCGUCGGGAUCCAGCUCCAGCCACAGAGAUCAUUUGGCGUGUCAAAGCUACACGUUUGCAUCAUGCAGACUGAGGGGAAAGAAAAGAGGAAGAACGAAGCUUUUUCUAAGAGGAAGGAGCUCAAAAAAAUGUGGAGUCAGAAUUCUGAGUCUUUUUUUUUUUUUUUUUGU